rnacentral:rRNA from 1 species
UACAGAGGUCUCAAGCGUUUGUUCGGAUUCAUUGGGCGUAAAGGGUGCGUAGGCGGCGCGGUAAGUCGGGUGUGAAAUCUCGGAGCUUAACUCCGAAACUGCAUUCGAUACUGCCGUGCUUGAGGACUGGAGAGGAGACUGGAAUUUACGGUGUAGCGGUGAAAUGCGUAGAUAUCAUAAGGAAGACCAGUGGCGAAGGCGGGUCUCUGGACAGUUCCUGACGGCUGGGACGCACGAAGGCCAGGGGAGCAAACGGG